GCCGGCGCGAUCAAGGGAGAGAAUGCGAGAGGCAUGAGGGAGAAAGAGUGAGAGAGCCGGAGCGUUUGCGUGGGGAACGAUCGCAGCUCGUCAUUCGAAGCCCGCCAACGGACGAGCGAGCAGCCACGGAACGGGACCGCGAUUCAAAGAACCCACGCAAUUUCCGCGUAAUAAAAGAGAGAGGGAGAUAUAUUUAAAAAAAAAAGAAAGAUAGAGAGAGAGAGAAAGUAAUAAUCGAGGAAAGUAACACACGCGUCGCGCGCUCCGAUCGGGAUAGCAAGUGAGAGCGGAGGGUGAUCGUGCGGGAAAGAGAGAGAGAGGAUAUCGCUUUGCGCGCCUGCUACGAGAGCAGAGAUUCCACGGGGUUGCGGAUUCGCUCGUCGCGACGCUCGCUCGCUCGCUCGCUCGCCCGCCCGUACGAAUUUGUCGAGCCGCUCGGUGCUCGCGUCCGUCGGUUAAGUUUCGCUCGCGUUCGGAUUGGCCGCGGUGGAAGUUUUCGACAGUAGAAAGGGAAAGAAGACGAAGGAGUGUGCGUGUGUGUGUGCGUGCGUGAGAGAAGGAGAGGCAGAGAAAGAGAAAGAAAGUGAGACGCGGAGGAAUACUGACCGACAAGGUGAAAAGGAAAUAGAAAACGAAAGGAGAGAGCGAGGGAGAUUAAUGAGAAAGUGCCGGAUAAGUAAAGUGGUGGAAGAGCCGAAGACAACAAGUUUUGUUGAUGACAGUGACAAGAAGUGACAGCCACGUCGCGUGUGUUUCGCUCUAGGAUAUCGUCGUCUCGGAUAAUUGGGUUCCGGAAAACGGAGCUCGCGGCGCCGAAGAAGAAGGAAAAGGAGAGAGAGAGAGAGAGAGAGAGAGAGAGAGAGAGAGAGAGAGAGAGAGAGAGAGAGAGAGAGAGAGAGAGAGAGUGAUCGCGCGUGAUUUGUUUACGAUUUAUCUUGGUGCGCUGUGUGUGCUUUCUCGGUGAAGUUGUGCGCGAGACGCGAGAUCUCGGCGAAAAGAAGAUUCUCGAAAAAAUUCAACCGUCGACAAAAAAAACUCGGACGCUCGCUCGUAACGUACGUUCCCUUCCCUCCCCCCCUUGCAGGCUUGCUGGGGCGAGCUCGAGGCGCGAAUUCGCGGAAAACGAGGAGCUCGACAUUUCCACGAAUUUCCUCCGAUAGGUAAGGAGGCUGAGGGGGGUACGCGCGGGCAAAACCGCGAGCGACACUCGCCAUUGGUCGUAAUCGGGCCGUGAUCGCCAAUAGGGUAAUCGAUCGCGCCAAUAGUUUCGGCCGAAAUUAAAAAAAGGCGUGUUUAGCCACCGCAGUCCGCGCGGAGAGCCUGCAUUAGCAGCUAUCGUCCGUUAUUCCGGCCAGUCUCUGUUCCCCAACCGACUGUGGCGUGUGUGUCUAUUUCAGAGUGAGACUAGUGAGGAUCGUAGGCGAGAGUAUCUUCGUCCUCAAAGAAACGAUCGUGGGACAUCCAAAUCGCCAACUGCAAGUCGAAACACGAGUCGAGAGGAGCGGACGGAGAUACGUGUGAAGUGAAUUGCCGGAGGGAAGUGAAUAUAACCGCAAAACGCAUCGUCGUCCGCGAGUGCGCCGCACCGGCCGUGCUACUGCGUGACCCACUCUCGCGUGCGCGCGUCCAGUGUCUUGACGAAAGAAAAGAAACAAGCGCGUACACGAGAGUCGUCAGUGCCCCGAGAGUGCAGCAGCGUGCAUCGUCGUCGCCGGGAUCCUUCCACCCCGUCCCGUUCGUCCGUCUCUCGCGGCCGCGAACGACGUGCUUCGUGUAGAAAAAUCGCGAUUAUCCCGGGCGACCGACGUGCUACUUGUGCGCGUUUAGUGCACGGUGCUGCACCUGUGUGGCCGGUCUCGCGAGCGCGAGAUCACCGACGCUUCGUUACUCCGUGAUCACAGAGUGAUUAUCGGUGCGUCGCGCUCCACCGGCGAUCUUGUCGCGCGCCUACGGACGGGACUUCCCCCGCCGAUUCACGCGCCGGAGUACGCGCCACGCCAGGAAGGAUAAGGCUGCUGGCCGGUGCCCACGUGACGAAAGUGCAGACGCUGCCUCCUCGGUCACUUGGAACAAGUGACCGACAGGACAUACAGUUUUCUCCCGGAAGCGUUACGCAAACGGCCUCAAGAUUCAGCUCGACGUCAUGCCGUGGUUCAUCCUAUUUCUCCUGCUGCUGGCCGUGAUGGAGGCCUUCCCUCGGGAGGCCACCUGUUCCCGCCUGCCGGACAUCUACUGGAAUUCCACCAAUCCAAUGUAAGUACGUAACGUUAUCUUCCUGGACGCAUAGAUGGUGUGUGAAAUCUUUGGAUCUAGUUCUGUAAGUAAAUAUCGUAGCUUUAUGUCAUUGAACCUUAAAUAUAUUUUAGUUUAAUCUCUUUUUCUCCGUAAACUUUUUACGACAAAUUUGAUACUUGAAGAUGUUCCAGAGAUAUUUAAUUUUAUUUAAAUAUCUUAAAAAAUAUUACGAUUGCCUUAUUAGUCGGGAAAUUUGAUUUUCCCCUGAAUUUUGCUUGUUUCGACCGCAUCGCGAGCAGACGCAUUAAUUUUAUCUUGCCUUCCCCCUUUCACUUUGUUUUGACCAUCGUCAGUGAAAUUUAUACGGAAAUAACGCGCCUGAAUAAAUUGCACACUUAAUUGUGAUUCUAAAGCCUUGCCCUCCCCCGCUGGGCGCGACCCGUUCGUGAUACAUUUUUAAUACCGCGGGACAUCAAUCUCGCAUUAGCUCACUCCUUCCCCGCGUGCACGUGCAAAAAAGCGGGAGUGGUUCUUGAAAGAUCUAGAAUUACGUGACACGUAACGACCGCUGUUUUCAUUUAUUCCUCUUCUUACAUUCCGUUUGUUGCACUCCCUCGUCCUUGUGCCCUACAGCGCCGGCUUGAAAGCAAGGAACAUCGUAUUUUAUGGAUCUUAGAUUAUGGCUGCAAGUAAAAUGGGACAUUUCCUUCCUGCUGAUACCUUGAAGGUCAUUAGUGGCAAUCUGACAUGCGCGCAUUACAAGUACUAGGAAUAUAAACGAAUAAUUCUCUCUCAUUAGUCAGCCAUCGUUUUUCUAAAUUAUAUUUGAAUCGAAGCGGGCUUUUGUGCGUGCUAUUGAAAGUCGAUAAAAUAAACAGCAACGUUUGUAGCUCCGAAACAGUUUUGUGCUAAACAGCCGCCAGCGUUAUGUAGGCAACAAAACUGGUUUAUAAAUAUAAUAAUUUAGGCUUGAGGGAGCAAGCAAAUCGAUAUUUAACCGUGACGGUAGUUACCUCGUUAUCGCGCGAGGUAUUUGCAAUCGACGCACGAAACAGUUAGCCCCGCUGCAAAAUGUAAAAAAAAACACACACACACAAUCGCGCAGCCACAACGCGAUUGUCCCGAUAACUUUCAUAUAGUGUGAGCUACUACUGUGAGAAGAGGCUGGAAUUGAUGAUAGUGCCGCGCACUAAUUACGAACUUUAACGCCGCGGAUGUGUAGUGAAAUCGCCGGACUUAUUAAAAGUCCACGCCUUCACCGCCGACCCUGCGAGAUCUCCUCUCCCUCCUCCUCCAGUCGAUCUCCGACUUUAAUCAACACGCCGGGCAGAUAUGCGUAAAUUAUUGGCGAGAGAUGGAGCUGAGCUACAAACGGGAGGCCGUACGCUUGAAAUAUUAGAUGCGCGUAUCACAUUCGCUGACACGAUUAUCGUAUCGUAAUUCGCUUCUCGUUUAAAGUCUCGGACGAAAAUUUUUAGCGCGCAGCGUUCGGAUCAAUAUUGAAAUCAUGCUGCCUCUCUGCAAAUUUACAAUAAACUCGUAGUUCGUAGAGAGGUGAGUUAAGGGCUUCUAUCGAUUAACCCGGAAGCGUAAACGCGUGCUAUCGUUUCAAAGCUUGUAGAUGCAGACGCGGAAGUGUAAUAUAAAGGCGAAGAGGCUUGAAAGGAGGAUAUUGCAGCAUAACAGAAAGAGGCGUUAUGAAGGUAGAUAAAUAUAUGUACGCUGCCCCGAGAUGAUGUUCAAGUGAGUGUUCAAACGGGAAACAAGGGAAGAAGGACUCGCAAGGGUGGUCUGCGGGAAGAUAAAGGGCGGUCGAGAAGUAAGAAUUCGAUUAUCUCAGCGGAUGCUCGAACUUCUCUCGGAUUUCCUGGUGCGGAUAAUGGAGCACUCUUUGAAGAAAGCUUUUGCGCGCGACCGAGAUACCCGCUCGCUGGUGUACUCUUUUUCCAUCCUCUUCUUUACGCAUCUACCCCUUCUUCUCGCACGCACACGCGCUACCUACCCCUUUCUUUCCCUCCACGAUUUCUCAUUCGUUUUAUCGAAUGAAAAUUCAAAGCUGCUCGCGAACGAAAGGUAAGGACGAAAAAGACGAAAUAAUCGUAGAUAGACAAUGAUGACAGAAAGAAUUCACGUUACGCGCGAAGUAACAGACAGGGAGAGUGGAAAGAAAGAGAGAGGUAAAGCGCGAUGCCAAAAGCGAGGAACAAUACCAGAAAUUUUAGCCGGCAAUCGAGACAGACGGAGAGAAAAUUAUAGAUGGAAAGAGAGACAGAGACGUUCAACACGAGAUAAAGGGUUUGGAAUCUCAGGGCGGAACUUCUGUCAGCCUUGCCGUGGCUUUUGGCUCGGGAGGUGAAUUCGGCUUUUAACGGUAUACGGUCUGAAUCACCCUGUCGCGUCGCCAGGGGUGAUCGAGCACAUGCCUUUACGAGCGAUAUGAGCACCACGCGCGAGACAACGGUAAACGUUACGUUUAACUCUGCCGCAUUUUGAAGUACAUGGUUAUGACCCAUAAAUCAUCGAUGUUUGCUACUUGGAUUGUUAGGCUUGUUAAGACUGUCAAAAUUAGUUAGCUGUUUUACCACUUUUCUUUCUCUUUUUCUCUUUAUAUAUUGUGUAUAAAUUAUAUUUAUCACGCGACAGCAAUAAUGCCUAGCAUAAAAAGAGAGUAUAUUCUUUCUUAAAAAAAAAAAAAAAAAA
rnacentral:lncRNA from 1 species